UGAGGAACAUGACCUUCGGCGGGGGAUAGCCGGCCCAACGGCCGGGUAAUACCGCGUACGACCACAUGGGGACAUCCCUGAGUGGUGAAAGCAGCAAUGCGCCGAUGGAGUGCCUCGCGGCCUAUCAGCUAGUUGGUGAGGUAACGGCUCGCCAAGGCGACGACGGGUAGCUGGUCUGAGAGGAUGGCCAGCCACAUUGGGACUGAGACACGGCCCAGACUCUACGGGAA
rnacentral:rRNA from 1 species